UACGGAGGGGGCUAGCGUUGUUCGGAAUUACUGGGCGUAAAGCGCACGUAGGCGGCUUUGCAAGUUAGAGGUGAAAGCCCGGGGCUCAACUCCGGAAUUGCCUUUAAAACUGCAUCGCUAGAAUUGUGGAGAGGUAAGUGGAAUUCCGAGUGUAGAGGUGAAAUUCGUAGAUAUUCGGAAGAACACCAGUGGCGAAGGCGGCUCACUGGCCCGAUACUGACGCUGAGGCACGAAAGCGUGGGGAGCAAACAGG
rnacentral:rRNA from 1 species